rnacentral:rRNA from 1 species
AUUGAACGCUGGCGGCAGGCUUAACACAUGCAAGUCGAACGAGUGGCGGACGGGUGAGUAAUGCUUGGGAAUCUAGCUUAUGGAGGGGGAUAACUACGGGAAACUGUAGCUAAUACCGCGUACCAUAGGAUGAGCCCAAGUGGGAUUAGGUAGUUGGUGAGGUAAAGGCUCACAAAGCCGACGAUCUCUAGCUGGUCUGAGAGGAUGACCAGCCACACUGGGACUGGGACACGGCCCGACCUCCUACGAGAUGCAGCAGUGGGGAAUAUUGCGGAAUGGGGGCAACCUGACGCAGCCAUGCCGCGUGAAGGAAGAAGGCCUUCGGGUUGUAAAGUGCUUUCGGUAGCGAGGCGUUAACUACAGAAGAAGCACCGGCUAACUCCGUGCCAGCCGCCGCGGUAAUAC